rnacentral:rRNA from 1 species
CCUACGGGGGGCAGCAGUGGGGAAUAUUGGGCAAUGGGCGCAAGCCUGACCCAGCAACGCCGCGUGAAGGAAGAAGGCUUUCGGGUUGUAAACUUCUUUUAUCAGGGACGAAUCAAGUGACGGUACCUGAUGAAUAAGCCACGGCUAACUACGUGCCAGCAGCCGCGGUAAUACGUAGGUGGCGAGCGUUAUCCGGAUUUACUGGGUGUAAAGGGCGUGUAGGCGGGCUUGCAAGUCAGAUGUGAAAUUCCACGGCUCAACCGUGGAACUGCAUUUGAAACUGUAGGUCUUGAGUGCUGGAGAGGCAAUCGGAAUUCCGUGUGUAGCGGUGAAAUGCGUAGAUAUACGGAGGAACACCAGUGGCGAAGGCGGAUUGCUGGACAGUAACUGACGCUGAGGCGCGAAAGCGUGGGGAGCAAACAGGAUUAGAUACCCUU